rnacentral:lncRNA from 1 species
UUUCAGGUGUCGGUGUAGUAUUCACAAUAGACAAUGUCAGGCUCCUAUUCUUGGAGUUAGUUAUGUUCUUCUGUUUUCUUUUGUUGUUUCAGUUUGAAAGAGACCAUCUGUUGGUUGGUCAAUGGCUGCCCAUAUGCUUUUAAAACUUUUGAGAGGGUGUAGCAUAUCAGGGAGAUAAUAAUAAUUAUUAGCAAUAAAACAAUGCCCAUAGUUUGGAGAGCAAUCCUGAGCCAGGGUUCCCGUGACCCAAGACAAUCAGAAUCAAAGAAGUCAAGAAAGAUCCUGAAGAGGGAGAUACUUCUUUAAGUUAGUUGGCUUGUUUAUAUAUUUCACGUACCUGUGUCUCCACUUCUCCAGAAUUGUUUAUCCAGUGAGUUUGUGCCAGAGAAACUGAGAUAUUGGAAAUCAGGUAGAGGUUUGUGAUGGGCAGAAAGAACUACAGCAUCAUAGGAGAUCCAACAGUCAGUUGGAGGUUAGAUCAACCUCCUUCACAAUGGCCUGAAAUAUGUGAAAAACAGCAUUACCUUUCCAGGCCAGGGCAAGGCAAAAGAUGAACAAAAGAAACAUAAGGACCUUCAUGGUGCAGGGAGAAAGACAAGCCAAGUUCUCAGGACACAAAACAAGACAAACAAGAAGGAAUAGGUGUCCUUGGGAGAGAAAGGAUCGAUAACCAAUGAGCACCUCAAAACCAAAUUCACAAGAGCCUGCAUUGGAAAGGAAGAGACAACAUGAAAUUUUACCUUCCUUUCUUGACCAGGAAGACACAGGGAGAUUUGACAGCAAAGAGAAGAGAAGGAAACAUGAAGACGGAGCAGAGAGAUUUGAAGAUGCUGCCUUUGAAGACUGAAGUGAAGCCAAAGAAUGCUGGCAACCACCUGACGCUGAAAAAGGCAUGGAAUGAAUUCUCCCCAUAGGCCUCUCAAAAGAUGGAGGUUGUGCUGAUGCCUUGAUUUCACUCCUGUGAUACUGAUUUUGGACUCUGGUCUUGAAAG